UUUAAACGGUAGGGUAUUGGCCUACCGUGGCAAUGACGGGUAACGGGGAAUUAGGGUUCGAUUCCGGAGAGGGAGCCUGAGAAACGGCUACCACAUCUAAGGAAGGCAGCAGGCGCGCAAAUUACCCAAUCCUAAUACAGGGAGGUAGUGACAAGAAAUAACAAUACAGGACUUUUUGGUUUUGUAAUUGGAAUGAGUA
rnacentral:rRNA from 1 species